GGUCUCCCUCUGCUCAGGUCAAUCCUAGUGUUGCCCGUGGCUCUUCAGGAGGGGAGGCUGUGAACAAGGCUGCAGCAGAGGGAGCUUUGCCUGCUGGCGGGAGCUGUGUGAACGUUUGCCAGGAGCCCGAGGAGCUUGAUAUCCAUCUGAUCUACCUUGCCCGAAGGGCUGCCCUGCGUGGGAAGAAGGAUCAGAGGGAGAGCCUGUGACCAUCGGGCAGGUGGCAUCCCUC